rnacentral:rRNA from 1 species
AAAUUGAAGAGUUUGAUCAUGGCUCAGAUUGAACGCUGGCGGCAGGCCUAACACAUGCAAGUCGAACGGUAACAGGAAGAAGCUUGCUUCUUUGCUGACGAGUGGCGGACGGGUGAGUAAUGUCUGGGAAACUGCCUGAUGGAGGGGGAUAACUACUGGAAACGGUAGCUAAUACCGCAUAACGUCGCAAGACCAAAGAGGGGGACCUUCGGACCUCUUG